UCCGUACAUCGGAAACGUCUCCUAUUGGCAUUUUUCAUCCUUGUUGGUACAUCACUGGCGUUGUACUUUCUCCUCAACAACAAGCCCUCAUCCUGUCAGGAAACAGCCGAAGCACUGCCUGAUCCAGUUCCGCCAGGCGACAUCACCGUGGUAUCCUCCACACCCUC
rnacentral:lncRNA from 1 species